UACGGAGGGAGCUAGCGUUGUUCGGAAUUACUGGGCGUAAAGCGCGCGUAGGCGGCUUUGUAAGUUAGAGGUGAAAGCCCGGAGCUCAACUCCGGAACUGCCUUUAAGACUGCAUCGCUUGAAUCCAGGAGAGGUCAGUGGAAUUCCGAGUGUAGAGGUGAAAUUCGUAGAUAUUCGGAAGAACACCAGUGGCGAAGGCGGCUCACUGGACUGGUAUUGACGCUGAGGUGCGAAAGCGUGGGGAGCAAACAGG
rnacentral:rRNA from 1 species